ensembl:rRNA 5S_rRNA 5S ribosomal RNA
GCUUACAGCCAUACCACACUGAGCACAUCCGAUCUCGGAAGCUAAGCAGUGCUAGGCCUGGUUAGUACUUGGAUGGGAGACCAACUGGGAAUACCAGGUGCUGUAAACU